ACGGCUGACUCCAGGUAAGUGAUAGUUCAGGUAACAGCCACGGGUCAGAGUCCAGGAGGGAGUGCAUUAGAGAUUAGUGAGUACUGAGCCGCCAGGUGAAUGUUUGCCAGCCAAGCCCUACUUUACAUGGCUGGUGGCACAACCGCCACAUUAACCUUAGUGCAAUCUCUUUAGAAUCUCUUUGAACUGUAAUCACUUUAUUAUGACCAGGCAAUGUGACAUCUGAGUCCAAAUGGAACAUCUACAAAAUAUGAUUAAAUUCAUAGUAAUUGUUUUGCAUUGUAGAGGUUCCUCAGCUGAUACGACACGAAAGCUCAGUGUGUUGGUGGGUGAAGACGUGACUCUCAGCUGCCGGUUUGAUAAACUGUCCACGCUGGUGGAGUGGAGCGUUCUAACUAUUGAGUGGAACAAGGUGGAUAAACAUGCAGGGAAGAGCAUCGUGUACACUUUUGAGGAUGAGACAGCACAUGGGAGCAGAGACGGCUCUGUGGUGGAUAGAACGAAGUUGCUAGAAAGUGAUGCCUCUCUGCAGCUUCGUAAUGUGACUGUGAGAGAUGAAGGGCUGUACACCUGCAGGAUCAUCACACCUGUGGUCUACACAGAGACAGCUUCACUGGAAGUGCUGGCUCGGCCUUCGGUGUUGCUCCCAGAAAAGGCAGCAGUGACAGAAGGGGAGGAGAAGACCAUACAGUGUGACAUCACAGGUUUCUAUCCAGAGAAACUUACCGUGACAUGGUACAUCCAAAAUGGCUCCCACACUGUCCACGCAGGUGCCAGCCACCUCUUCCGUGUCUGCACCGAAAUGGCCAUUCACAAUCCAGAUGGCACCUACAGUAUUCGCAGUGGCCUCACACUGCACUCGUCAGCAGUGAAAGACGCAGAGGUACACAUAAUCUGCCAGGUGGAGCACCAGACCUACAGCCGGCCGUACAACAGAUCUGUUAAACUGACUGUUCAGGCUCCAUCACAGCCGGUUUACAGUGCUGUCACACUGAUAGCUGUCACCAGUGUCACCAGUCUGCUGCUGGUCACCGCUGUCAUUGGAGGCGUUUUGAUUUUCUACAGGUAUUUCUGUAAAGCUCCACCAAGUGUUUCUGAAAUCAGCCAACCCAGCAUCACAUAUGCUCAGGUGCAGACCGAACUCAAAUGCACCAUCCGAGGAGCAAGACAGCAGGAGCUUAAAGUGAAAUGGUCUAAACUAAGAAGCAGCGCAAACUUAGUGGUCCAGUCAGAAUCUGAUCCUCUAUUGGUCAGGGAGGAUGUGAGUGAUCAGGCUUGUCUCCAGUCAGACGGCACACACCACACAUCUGUCCUGCCUGUGUGUCUGACUGUCAAUGAAGACCUGACCAAAUACCAGUGUGUGGUGCUGUGCAGGGGCAAGAUCAUCAACAGAAACACCACAGUUCAGGUGAAAGUGGAGCCGUCUUUCCUCCAGAUCUCCAGCAUCCCUCAGAUCCCCAAGGUGGAAAGGCUGCUGGUUCUCUGCUGUAGGGUGGAGAACUUCUACCCCCAGGACAUCGACCUGGAGUGGUCCAGGAACGACGGGGAGCAGGUGUGCACCGUGACACACUUUGGACCUUUUUCCGACCACAACCGCCUCUUCAGCGUGUGGAGUAAGAUUGAGCUGGUCAUGGCCAGAGAGGACGAGAGUGCCGUCUACACCUGCCGAGUUUACCACUCCAGCUUCCCCGCUCCGGGUUACAAAGAUAUCCUGUACCAUAUCAACACUCAAGGAACUCCUCCUAAUGUGAUGUUCAUAGACUGUGAACCACUGUAUCCUCUGUUGAACGAAGAAUGUACACUGCACCUGUGCGUCAAAGACUUCUGUCCUGAGGACGUGUCAGUGACUUGGACUAAAGAUGGAGAGACGGUUUCCUGCUUCAACACUCCCCCGAGCCUAAACAUCAAUGGGCUCUACUCCAUGUUCAGUUUUCUCAAACUCACCCCCAACAAGGAUGACCAGGGCUCCAAGUUCAGGUGCCAGGUGGUCCACAGCGCCCAGAAGGAGCCUGAGGAGAGGCUCUUCACCCUGCCUGCAAGCCACAACCUGCAUCUGAUAUUCGACGGCUGCUGAUGUCCUCACUAAACUCUUGUAUUUCAGUCUACAUUUGAUUUGUGAAUGUUGGGAUGUAGAUUAGCACAGAUGAAACAGAGUUUGGGACUUGAAAAGAUAAAUCUCAUCCAGUCAUCACUGUCUGCCUCUGAUAUGAUGGGCAUUGUCAAGGAAAAAUUCUAAUAGGAGCAGCACAGAAGGUUCAAGAGACUUAUGACUUACACAGAAGCAUUUUAUCAACACAACAAUUAGGUAGUACAGUUUAACCAUGAUGUGUGACUGUACAGUACUGUCCCGAAGUUCCUGUAUUCUAGUAGGUGUAUUUAACUCAUGCUGGAGGCGUCACAUUUAGCUGAACCUUUAAGGUAAACAGAUACUACAGCCUAGUUCAGCCUCUCUCUCUCGCUCUCUCUCUCUCUCUCUCUCUCUGGGAAGUAUCAGAUACUACAGCCUAGUUCAGCCUCUCUCUCUCUCUCUCUCUCUCUCUCUCUCUCUGGGAAGUAUCAGUUCCUAGUUUAGCCUCUCUCUCGCUUUCUCUCUCAGGAAACCCUUUUGGAGGCCCAACGCCCUGAGAAAAAAUGCCCUUAUCAUGCAGCACCAUUUAACAAUUCAACAAAUCAUUGUAUGUUACAUAUUAUGCAUGUAGGUGUAUGUACGUAUGUUAUAGCUUCAUUAAUACAGCACAGUACAAGUCCUGCAUUCAGAUGUUUACUUCAAGUGAAAAGAGAGGCAUAUACACUUACAUUUACUUCACAUCUGUUAUUAUAAUGUAUGUAUAAAGCUGGAUAGUUUAAUGAACAAUAAUGCGUAAUAUUUUAAUUCUGAUAUUUUGUGAUUAAAAUCCGAAUCUGCAACCAGUUAAUUGGUUAAGUAACCAGUAACAUGUCUCUGUCAGGUAAAUGAAUUAGUACAAUCUAAUACAUAGUAAGUCAGUAGUAUCCAGUUGGGUUGCAUAUUUUUUCAGAGCUUUGGGUGCUUUCUGUAAGUCAUUUAUCAUGGUACAAUGAGUUAGAAAAG